rfam:Gossypium hirsutum cultivar TM-1 chromosome 20, whole genome shotgun sequence
GAUUCAUUAAUGAGGACACUUCCGUAAUAAUUCUUUAUACCUUUCCCAUGCCUCAUAUAAGGACUCAUCAUUUAUUUGUUGGAAAGUAGUGAUCUCGUUCCUCAACUU